rnacentral:rRNA from 1 species
UGAGGAAUAUUGGUCAAUGGGCGAGAGCCUGAACCAGCCAAGUAGCGUGCAGGAUGACGGCCCUACGGGUUGUAAACUGCUUUUAUGAAGGAAUAAAGUCACCCACGUGUGGGUGUUUGCAUGUACUUUAUGAAUAAGGACCGGCUAAUUCCGUGCCAGCAGCCGCGGUAAUACGGAAGGUCCGGGCGUUAUCCGGAUUUAUUGGGUUUAAAGGGAGCGUAGGCUGGAGAUUAAGCGUGUUGUGAAAUGCCGCGGCUCAACCGUGGCACUGCAGCGCGAACUGGUUUCCUUGAGUGCGCUGAAAGUGGGCGGAAUUUGUGGUGUAGCGGUGAAAUGCUUAGAUAUCACGAAGAACUCCGAUUGCGAAGGCAGCUCACUGUAUCGCGACUGACGCUGAA